AUUGAACGCUGGCGGCAUGCCUUACACAUGCAAGUCGAACGGCAGCGGACCUUCGGGUGCCGGCGAGUGGCGAACGGGUGAGUAAUAUAUCGGAACGUACCUUUCAGUGGGGGAUAACGUAGCGAAAGUUACGCUAAUACCGCAUAUUCUGUGAGCAGGAAAGCAGGGGAUCGCAAGACCUUGCGCUGAUUGAGCGGCCGAUAUCAGAUUAGCUAGUUGGUGAGGUAAAGGCUCACCAAGGCGACGAUCUGUAGCGGGUCUGAGAGGAUGAUCCGCCACACUGGAACUGAGACACGGUCCAGACUCCUACGGGAGGCAGCAGUGGGGAAUUUUGGACAAUGGGCGCAAGCCUGAUCCAGUCAUGCCGCGUGAGUGAAGAAGGCCUCGGUUGU
rnacentral:rRNA from 1 species